rnacentral:misc_RNA from 1 species
GAUGAAUAACGUAGCGAAAUGCGAUAAGUAAUGUGAAUUGCAGAAUUCAGUGAAUCAUCGAAUCUUUGAACGCACCUUGCGCCCUUUGGCCAUUCCGAAGGGCAUGCCUGUUUGAGUAUCAUGAACACCUCAACUCUUCAUGGUUUUCCGUGAUGAGCUUGGACUUUGGGGGUCUUGCUGGCCUAUGGUCAGCUCCUCUAAAAUAAAUCAGCUUGCCAGUGUUUGGUGGGUAUCACAGGUGUGAUAACUAUCUACGCUUGUGGUUUUCCACCAGGUAACCUUCAGCAGUGGAGGUUCGCUGGAGCUCACAGAUGUGUCUCUCCUCAGUGAGGACAGCUCUUUGAAUGUUUGAUCUCAAAUCAGGUAGGACUACCCGCUGAACUUAAGCAUAUCAAUAAGCGGAGGA